CACUUUGAUGAGCCGGAAUUAGAACUCGUUCUCCGACCGGGCUUCUCUGAAGAGGCCUGGUCUUGGCUGCGGACCCCAGGUCCUUGCUUGGGACACAGCCCCCGGCCCCACUUAUGGGGACACGCGGGGCCCCUGCUGGCGGGUGCCCAGGCCGCUUCGGUGCAGGAGCCCCGGCUCCUGCCUCCCCUGGUUCCCUCAGUGACCGCAAUAGGAGUCAGAAGAGAGGGCGGACUCCCAGAAACAACGCAGGCGGCCCGCAGCACGCCGUGGUGGGGCUGCUGCCACGACGGGGACCUUCGUCCAGGGCACCCGGGCGGCUCAUGGAGCAUCUCCAGUGUGGUUCCCCGGGUCUCCCGGGCCAGCUGUGAAGACGCUGCAACUCGCUCGCCGGGGUCCUGGGCGCUUGCCGACCGACGCAUGCGGCCACCCUGCUGUGUUGGACGCUGUCGCCAGUGGGAAUAGAACCGUGAAUGCCACGGUGCGGCUGGACCCCGCCCUGAGCUGCGCCGAGGGACUGGUCAGAGUGAGGACCGAGGAGCUGAUGGAGGGAGCUGGGACGAGAAGGGCGGGGUGGCUGGACAGGGCAGGGCCUCACUGGAGACACAGGGGCCAGAGGCCGUCUCGGGCAGCGCAGACCCGGGCACCGCAGAGGCAGGCCCAGUGCGGCCGAAGCCGCCCGGUCCAGAGCUGCAGCCUUCGUGCUCCAGGGGCAGUGCCUGGCGAGGACCACAGUGCCCAUAGGUCUGCGGUUGAGAAGGGGGCCCGACGCCCAGCUGGCAGCAGAGGAGAAGCAGCACGUCAAUGAAGCCAGUUUAAAGCGUGAGUUCCACUCCUUGUGAGCUUCGUGGUCCACAGACUGGGAGAGCCUUCCUGCACUUGGACACAGCCCGACUUGCGGCUUGGAGGUGGUCCUUCUAUUGACCUCGCACCCUUGAGAUCUAAGAUUGUGCUGUCAGUAAUGCAAUGUGUGUGUGUGUGUGUGCAUGAAUCUAUGUGCACACACACAUGCUCUGUCAGAAGAGGACGCACAGGGUUGAGCUCUUUUGAGGCACUUGUAGAUUGACGUACUGGGUAAUGAGCCGGGCAGCCAGGUGAGACCUAAGACAACACUGUGUGGGAGAAACACAAGCCGCAUCGCCCGGGAGCGGAGGGAGGUCCGCCUGUGUGUCUGCAAGGGUUAGGGUCACUUUAUAUUUGUGUUGGAGCAAACGUUCAACUCGGGUAUGGACGACAGAGGCAGCCAGACCGGGCUUGAUUUGCUAGGAUGAAUCAAGAGAAAGAUGAUAGGAUCAGACAGACAUGCUUUUCUCUGGCGGGUGCAGGUUUUCCGCUGGGCAAUGCAUGAUCAAUCAACGCUUGUCCGAGAAGGAUGCAUCCUUUCUGUUGUCAUUAAAGCCGCAGUUACAUGCUCACCUGGGCAAGAAGUGGGGCCAGUCCACUGCUUUCCCAUCUGAGCUUGAUGUCAGGCUUUGUGUCUCAAGUCCAAAGUCCGGUUUAGCCCUCCGUGCAUUCUUCUGUCCUGUUCUGAUGACUGCGUCGUCUUGGUGCAUUUGUUGUAGUCAGAAUCAAAAGGCAAACAGUAGACUUGCGUGAAUAAAAGCCACUGUGGAGCUGUGGACGAACUCCCA
rnacentral:lncRNA from 1 species